AUUGGAAUUACUGAAUCAUAUGGUAACUCUAUGUUUAGCUUUUUGAGGAAUUGCCAAACUGUUUUCCAAAGCAGCUGCACCAUUUUACAUUUCCACCAGCAGU
rnacentral:pre_miRNA from 1 species